GACGAACGCUGGCGGCGUGCCUAAUACAUGCAAGUAGAACGCACAGUUUAUACCGUAGCUUGCUACACCAUAGACUGUGAGUUGCGAACGGGUGAGUAACGCGUAGGUAACCUGCCUGGUAGCGGGGGAUAACUAUUGGAAACGCUAGCUAAUACCGCAUAAUAUUAAUUAUUGCAUGAUAAUUAAUUGAAAGGUGCAAUUGCACCACUACCAGAUGGACCUGCGUUGUAUUAGCUAGUAGGUGAGGUAACGGCUCACCUAGGCGACGAUACAUAGCCGACCUGAGAUGGUGAUCGGCCACACUGGGACGGAGACACGGCCCAGACUCCUACGGGAAGCAGCAAGACGGAAACGUCGGGAAUGGACGAAAGUCUGACCGAGCAACGCCGCGUGAGGGAAGAAGGUUGUCGGGUCGUAAAGCUCGGUUGUAAGGGAAGAACGGGUGUGAGAGUGGAAAGUUCACACUGUGACGGUAUCUGACCAGAAAGGGACGGCUAACUACGUG
rnacentral:rRNA from 1 species